rnacentral:rRNA from 1 species
AUGCAUGUCUAAGUAUAAGCAAUUAUACAGCGAAACUGCGAAUGGCUCAUUAUAUAAGUUAUCGUUUAUUUGAUAGUACCUUACUACUUGGAUAACUGUGGUAAUUCUAGAGCUAAUACAUGCUAAAAAUCCCGACUUCGGAAGGGAUGUAUUUAUUGGAUUAAAAACCAAUGCCCUCUGGGCUCUCUGGUGAUUCACAAUAACUUCUCGAAUCGCAUGGCCUAGCGCCGGCGAUGGUUCAUUCAAAUUUCUUCCCUAUCAACUUUCGAUGUUUGGGUAGUGGCCAAACAUGGUUGCAACGGGUAACGGAGGGUUAGGGCUCGACCCCGGAGAAGGAGCCUGAGAAACGGCUACUACAUCCAAGGAAGGCAGCAGGCGCGCAAAUUACCCAAUCCCGAUUCGGGGAGGUAGUGACAAUAAAUACUGAUACAGGGCUCUUAUGGGUCUUGUAAUCGGAAUGAGUACAAUUUAAAUCCCUUAACGAGGAACAANNNNNNNNNNNNNNNNNNNNNNNNNNNNNNNNNNNNUCCAGUUCCAAUAGCGUAUAUUAAAGUUGUUGUGGUUAAAAAGCUCGUAGUUGAACCUUGGGCCUGGCUGGCCGGUCCGCCUCACCGCGUGUACUGGUCCGGCCGGGCCUUUCCCUCUGUGGAACCCCAUGCCCUUCACUGGGCGUGGCGGGGAAACAGGACUUUUACUUUGAAAAAAUUAGAGUGCUCCAGGCAGGCCUAUGCUCGAAUACAUUAGCAUGGAAUAAUAAAAUAGGACGCGCGGUUCUAUUUUGUUGGUUUCUAGGACCGCCGUAAUGAUUAAUAGGGACAGUCGGGGGCAUCAGUAUUCAAUUGUCAGAGGUGAAAUUCUUGGAUUUAUUGAAGACUAACUACUGCGAAAGCAUUUGCCAAGGAUGUUUUCAUUAAUCAGGAACGAAAGUUAGGGGAUCGAAGACGAUCAGAUACC